rnacentral:piRNA from 1 species
AGGGCCACAGGAAGGAACAGGAGGCAAG